rnacentral:misc_RNA from 1 species
UCAAAAGUCAAGUCGGGGGCUGCAAAGCCCUCGUCUACACCCAUGUCUUUUGCGUACUUCUUGAUUCCUCGGUGGCGCAAGCCGCCGAUUGGACAAACCAAAACCUUUUUUGUAAUUGCAAUCAGCGUCUGAAAAUAAUCUAAUUAUUUA